rnacentral:rRNA from 1 species
GACGAACGCUGGCGGCGUGCUUAACACAUGCAAGUCGAACGGAAAGGCCCUGCUUGCAGGGUACUCGAGUGGCGAACGGGUGAGUAACACGUGGGUGAUCUGCCCUGCACUUCGGGAUAAGCCUGGGAAACUGGGUCUAAUACCGGAUAGGAGCUAUUUUUAGUGUGAUGGUUGGAAAGUUUUUUCGGUGUAGGAUGAGCUCGCGGCCUAUCAGCUUGUUGGUGGGGUAAUGGCCUACAAAGGCGGCGACGGGUAGCCGGCCUGAGAGGGUGGACGGCCACAUUGGGACUGAGAUACGGCCCAGACUCCUACGGGAGGCAGCAGUGGGGAAUAUUGCACAAUGGGCGCAAGCCUGAUGCAGCGACGCCGCGUGGGGGAUGACGGCCUUCGGGUUGUAAACUCCUUUCGCUAGGGACGAAGCUUUUUGUGACGGUACCUAGAUAAGAAGCACCGGCUAACUACGUG